AACUGGAUGUCCAUCCUAACGGCAACAACUCCGUAGAGUGGGCUGAGUGCUUUUUACGCAGCACUCGCACAGGCGAGGUCAGAUUUGGGAUGGUUUUUACAGCUGGAUGCCCUUCCUAACACCAACCACUUUACAGUGUGGACUGCAUGCUUUCAAGUGGUGCCUGCACUGACAGGUUUACCAAGUACUUGCAAGACAAAAA